AUUCCUGAUGUUUAAUUGGAAUCUCCUUUCUUGUCACUUGAAGCCAUUGGUUCAGGUCCUCUUCUUCAGAACAGGACAAACAAGCUUGCUCCAUCUUCCAUGUGACAGCCCUUCAAUAUUUGAAGAUGGCUAUCAUAUCUCUUCACAGUCUCCUUUUCCCCAGGCUAAACAUACCCAGCUCCUUCA